UUAAAAUUUAUCGAUUCGCUGCAAAUUUUGAUAUUUUGGGUUUAACAGUGAAGUUGCGAAAAUGGCGUCUUCGGCGGUAUCUCUAUCCAGUUUCUCGUCAUCGGCGUCUUUGCAACUCUGUUCUUCCUUUAACGGCGACUACUUAGCGCCGUCGAGAUGCUUUAUCGGAGCUCCGGUCACUUCCUCUUCUUUAUCACUCUCCGGUAAGAAUAAUUCAUAUUCUCAGAGAAAGUUCUAUGUUUCUGCCAAGAAAGUUUCUGGUUUGGAAGAAUCCCUUAGAAUCAGAAGAAUGAGAGAGCUUGAAACCAAAACAAAAGUUAGGAGAAAUCCACCUCUAAGACGUGGAAGAGUAUCACCUCGUCUUCUUGUACCUGAUCACAUUCCAAGGCCUCCAUAUGUUGAGUCUGGUGUGUUACCUGAUAUAUCAAGUGAGUUUCAGAUUCCUGGUCCUGAAGGCAUUGCGAAAAUGAGAGCUGCUUGUGAGCUUGCUGCUCGGGUUUUAAACUAUGCUGGAACUUUGGUUAAACCUUCUGUUACGACUAAUGAAAUCGACAAAGCUGUGCAUGAUAUGAUUAUUGAAGCUGGUGCUUAUCCUUCACCUCUUGGAUAUGGUGGAUUUCCUAAAAGUGUGUGUACUUCAGUUAAUGAGUGUAUGUGUCAUGGAAUACCGGAUUCUCGCCAGUUGCAGAGCGGGGAUAUCAUAAACAUCGAUGUCACGGUUUACUUGGAUGGUUACCAUGGAGACACAUCGAAAACUUUCUUCUGUGGAGAAGUCGAUGAAGCUUUCAAACGACUUGUGAAGGUUACGGAAGAAUGCUUGGAGAAAGGUAUUGCCGUUUGUAAAGAAGGAGCAAGCUUUAAGAAAAUCGGGAAAAGAAUCAGCGAGCAUGCAGAAAAGUACGGCUACAAUGUUGUGGAGCGGUUUGUUGGGCAUGGUGUUGGACCAGUAUUCCACUCCGAACCCCUUAUAUAUCAUUACCGAAAUGAUGAGCCUGGACUUAUGGUUGAGGGACAAACUUUCACAAUUGAACCAAUUCUUACGAUUGGAACCACGAAAUGUGUAACAUGGCCAGACAACUGGAGUACUCUCACAGCAGAUGGUGGCGUCGCUGCGCAGUUUGAGCAUACCAUUCUGAUUACUAGAACUGGUUCAGAGAUUCUUACCAAAUGCUGAAACUAUUCACAUUGAUCAUUUCCAUUUCACCUUAAUUUCAGUCUCCUUUGAGGUCCACAGUUAAAGCAUCCAAAAGCUCAAGAGAGAUAGUAGUAGAAGAAGUAUGAACCAGACAGAGGCUGGUGUCUCUCAUUUAAACAGCUAUUUGCUCUCAACAUACACUUUGUGGUUAGAAACACUUGAAAAUUCCUUUUGGAAUAAGCAACGACGAUAUGUUUCUUGACUGAAAAUAUAAUUUCAUGGGCAAUAUAAAAGUAAAUGACCUUUA